rnacentral:rRNA from 1 species
UACGUAGGGUGCAAGCGUUGUCCGGAAUUAUUGGGCGUAAAGAGCUCGUAGGCGGUUUGUCGCGUCGGCUGUGAAAACCUGAGGCUCAACCUCGGGCCUGCAGUCGAUACGGGCAAACUAGAGUUCGGUAGGGGAGACUGGGAAUUCCUGGUGUAGCGGUGAAAUGCGCAGAUAUCAGGAGGAACACCGGUGGCGAAGGCGGGUCUCUGGGCAGUAACUGACGCUGAGGAGCGAAAGCGUGGGGAGCGAACAGG